AGAUGUAGAUAACACUCCAGACACACCUCACUUCCUGAGAGGAGAGUUAUGGCUUCCUGCAAGAGGCACAGCCAUCCCCUGGAGUCCUGAGGAGUUAGACAGCUACCUAUGGAGAGGGCACAUCUCUGACUUGUAGACCUGCUCUGAGGCUUCUCCUCUCACUUUGAGAUCCUCCAUGUACCUGUCAAAGGGUCAAAAGGCAGCUUGAGUACUUCCAGCUGCCGACAUUGGAUACCACCUCCUCCACACACGCAAACUCUCAAAAUGGACAUACACAGAGGCUGUGAUGUACCAUGGAUAGCUGACCAAGGAAAGACACCCCACCUUGCAAUGUGCUGCUUUAGCUUCUCAACAUAAGAAAAACUCCAGCAAAGGAAAACAAACGAAGCAGAGAAGACAAACGUCAAAUGUGACCUGCUAGAAACUUUGAAACAAACAGAUGUACACACUCCUCAUCCCGCAAGCAGUUCCUCUGUAGCAGCACUAUGUCUGUCAGUUCUUUCAUCAUGUUAUGAAAUAAGAAGAGAGCACAAGAGGAACUUGUUGCUGGGCUAUAAGACCAAAGCAGCCCAGAGAAAAAAUGGUAAUGCAAGCAAGAGCG
ensembl:lncRNA